rnacentral:lncRNA from 1 species
CCGCACCCGAGUGAUCCUCUGUGCGCCGCCUGCACCCGGGGCCGGGGCGGGCGGACAGAGCAACCGCUGCGUCUCUGCCCUGCCUUGUCACAUCUGGGUCCGGUGUUUCGGAUUCUAAAUCCUGAGUCCUGCAGCUGCUCCAGCUGUGCGCUGCUGGGCGAGCCACGUCGGCCUGCCCGUUGCCCGAGCCAGGGAAUCCUCCUGGUAGCGGGCCAGCAGCUCCGACCCAGCUGUGCUCAGUCAGAGUUCCCGGGAGAGAGUUCCAACUCGGACCUUUGGUUGGAGUUUAAAUCAACUCGCAGUGUUUCCCAUAAACUAGGGUUUGAAAUACGGUUCCUCCCCAGGACUCCCUUUCGCAUACUCACUUUAAAACGAACUUCGUGUGCACAAGCCCAGUUUGCCUUGGUUGGGGUUAGAGAACGGAAAGGGCAAACUGUGGCCAAAAAUGAGCAAGACUGUGCGAUCAUUGCCCCAAACCCUGAGACCGCCUUGCCAUAUGCGGCUCUCUUGGACACCCCCACCCCCUUCCGUAGCCAUGAAUCCAGGCAGUUGCCACUGAAGGGAAAUGAGCCGCCCAAUGGGCGCUCAGAACUAGGAGCCGCCAGAAGUUUGGGGAAGUUGGAGCGCAAGAGCGCACACAGAUGCACAGGUGUCCGCGUUCGGGCAGGCACGCGCGGCGGGGCCACCAUGGCGCGCUGGGUCCGAGGAGGGGCGGUGGCUGUGCUGUUCCACGGUGGCACGGGCUGUCCGGACUGCCUGGACGAGGUCACCUUCCCCGGAGUGGAGCACACGCGCCAAAGCUCAGCUUUCACGAAGGGCAAAACGGUCACCCAAGCGCCAGGCGUGCGCUACAGUGCAGCAACUGGGUUGACCCAGGGCCCUGGGCUCCCGGUGUGCCCCGGGUCCCGGGGCCAUUUCUCGCCCUCCACGUUUUCUUCUUUCUAUCCAGUUUCACAUGUUUAUUUUGAAGCGUGCUCCAGAUUCCUCACUAGUCGAUGCUUUCCCCGACUCCCAUCCAAACUCCCCCCAAUGGAAAAUAACACUUUUGUAUUUGCACCAAGCUGAGCAGUUGGGAUGCAAAGGACAUGCUGGGGCUCCCCUCCCCCAGUAAAGUCCACAGACGUCUCCGCGAUUGCCGGGCAGAUUCUGAGUGUCGCGUGUAACGGGCAUCAGACUUGGCACUCACUAGUGCUUGCUGGAAGGGACGUUUUCCUGGACAAAUUAAAAAUCACAAGGCAUAACAACGGAAAAGAAAACAACUUGAGGAUGGAGUUUACUGAUUAGCUCUGAAAUUUUCAUACAUGAUCUCCCUCCUUCAUACUGGUGUCCACGUUUGUUACUGUAAGUCUCAGAGGCAUUCAGCCACUUUCUUUUCUUCAUGAACUUUGCUUAGGUGAAGACUUUAAUGACAAAGGCGCAGACAUACAGGGUCUGUCACUCACCCGUGCUCAGGUGGCUGCUGCGCCUGGAGAACGCGCUGCUUGCGGAUUCCUUUCCUUCCCUUUGAGUUUCUUUACUGAUAUAUCAGAAGGAGGAGAGGGCUGUGACACUACACUUUUGUUACUCCAAACCUUUUGUGAAUAAACGCACCGGCCCAUAACGGAGGGAACACUGCAUUCUGAUAGUUCCCAUAAAGACUGCAAUAUAGUUACAUGACAAAAGGUUAUUAUACUAUAGCUCAACUUAAGCAUACUGUCAUUAUUAGGAGAAGAGGAAGAGCGAUGGCAGAAAUUCACAAUGUUGCAGUGCUCUUGGUAAAAUAAACAAUUUUCCUUACUUUCAGCUGAGGAAAUUCCAAGCCCACGUUGCAAAGAAAAAAAAAAAACUAAAAGAAUAUUAAGAGGGUAGUUAACACCAGGUGCCAAAAUAAUGAUGACCAUCAUUUUAAAAGAAUAUAAAACACUUGUCUGUGCCUUUUACCAAGGAAAAUAAUCAAGAGUUUUGUAUUGCUAAUGAAACUUUAAAUUAGUGGACCUAUACAACCAUAAGUAUAUUUAAAUUCUCCAAACAUUCUUCUAUAUGUUGUUAUUUUUAAAUCAAGUUAAUUCUGUAUUGCUUUUAGUAUUUAUGCCUCACAUUUAUUUAUAGAGGAAACAAUACCUGCCUGAUUGUUAAUUUGGAUUUUAUGUUCUUAAAAACAUGCGUCUAGGUACAGCCUAAGAAAUUUUGAAAUGAGGAUUUUCCUUUAAAAAGUAUGAAAUUUCUUCAUGAUAAUUUAGCCAUGCACCCAUUUUAAUAACCUAAGAGCUAGGUUUGUAACUAACAUGGUUAAUAUUUUAUGAACUUUUUGGUAAAUAUGCAAAUCUGUGUCUUAACUGAUUUUAGUUUACAACUGUGGAUAUUAGUGCUUACAGUUGUAAAUUUCACAUCAUUGAUUCUUGAAAACCCUGUUUCCUUUUUUAAAUAAUAACCUUUCUUUAUGAAUAUAUAAAAGCAAAGAAAACUAAAUGUUAAACUCAUCUACUUAUACAGAUGUCUACCAAAAUGCACGUUCCCUUUACCGUGAUUUUAAUUUUUGUAACUUAUUUAAAAUGCAUAGCAAAAUAAAUCAUAAGCAAGUGUUUAUUGUUCCCAAGCUCAAUAAAAUUAUGUGCGUUUUACAUAUCAGACUUUUUCCAUUUAAUAGCUAGCAAAUUAAUGUAAAUGUCAUUCAGGUGUGAUGUGUCAUAUCACACAAACUCUCUCCAUUCUAAUAGGAUACUUUAUUUACUACCUGGUGUCAUUAAAAUGGAGUUCAGCUUCCA